rnacentral:rRNA from 1 species
CAAAUAGGGCCGUCAGAGACGAUGACGUCGAUAGGCUACAGGUGUAAAGGCAGCAAUGUCAUAGCCGAGUAGUACUAAUUGCCCAAAAACUUACGGUA